rnacentral:lncRNA from 1 species
CAGGAGGUGAUGGAGCCCCCAUGGCUUCAGUGGAUAAUAAGGAGGCAGUUUUAGGGGAAGAGGACCUGGUGACUGUGUCCUAUAUGGCAGAGGAGCUGGACUUAGAGACAGUUGGGGACAUCAUAGCCAUUAUUGAAGAGAAGGGUGACGAGAAUGCCGAGGCACUGGAUGCUGCAGCGGUGGAAGCCGCUCUGUCUCUGUGUGAGGACACGGGUCACAAUCUGUCAGGUACCUGGGAGCCCGACCCCUUCAGACCCAGUGGCCCCGAGCCCUCCAGCACUUCAGAGGACUUAGAUCCACAUUCCCUGCAUCUGUUAGAGGGGAAGCGAGAGGGUCUUGACAUGUGUGGAUCCAGCAGUGGGUGUGCACAGGAGUACAUGACACCCUCCACCACUGUCCCCUCUGUUCCUCAAGACCCCACUCCAACAGCAGGAGCCCAUUCAGACCCAGAUGCAGAGCACACUGACGAGGCCCAGAAUGGGUGGCCAGAAUCCCUGCAUGCUGUGAUCAAAAGCGAGACUGAUGAAUGGACACGGUCUCAAUCAGAUACACGGUCAGAAGAUGACCCUGUGAUAAAACAGCACUCAAAGGUGUGGUGAUGCUGUGACUGUGUGCAUACGCUAACACAUAAUGUACCACCCACGAGUACAUAUAGGCCCGGAAACCAUUACCUCUGCCCUUUUUAGUAUUUGUUUUUACACUCCUCGUUAACAGAAAGUGAAAGAGGAGGAGGAGGCCGUGAGUGAUGCGGAGGAGGGCAGUGUGUCGGAGAUGAAAGCUGGAUUAGAAGGGGAUGGAGUCGAGGAUUGUGGGGGAGAAGAGGAUGGAGACGGAGUUUAUCUCUCAGAGCCAGAGGGGGAAACAGAGUUGGAUCCUCCGGCCAGCGAGAGCGAGGACGGCUACAGCAUGCACACGGCAUCCUCUUCUGUACAGCUCCACACAACUGCAGACUCCAUUCCCAGCAGCCCUGCCUCCUCACAGUUGUAUGUGCCAAAACUACACAUAAUUGUGACCCUGGACCACAAAAGCAGUCUUAAGUCGCUGGGGUAUAUUUGUAGCAAUAGCCAAAAAUACAUUGUAU